AAAAAGCUUAGAACAAAUAAAUAUCUUAAAAUUGGUUUUUACUUUGCAUGUGAGUAACAAGAGCAGUAUUUUAUCAUUAACAAUUUUUAGUAGUAUUUUAAAAUAUCUAUGCUUCAUCCUUCUAUCACUAAUAUAUUAUUGUCAUUUGUAUUCAAACCUAAAACCUCUUAGACCUAAUGAUCCAUUCUUAUCAUGCCUAAGACGUCUUUGUUCAAUGUUCAUACAGUAAAAUGAAUCUUGUAGCAUGUUCAUACAGUAAAAUGAAUCUUGUAGCAUAUUCCAUGAGAUUGAAUGCAUAGCAAAUUCUUGUUAAUAUGAGACUACCCAUGUAAACAUUUGGUAAAGGCUUGGUACAUUCAUUACAAUAAUGUUGCAAAAGAAGAACCUUUAGAACCGCCCAUUGGUGCAAACCUGUUCAUUUCCUCGAUGGUGGGGUUCAAACUGGAUCAUUGCUACCACAACUUUGACUAAUUUUUGAAUCAAUUUGCUCAAAAAUGUAUGGUAUUCCUGGUUCAAAAGAUAGUGCUUGAGGAUAUUAAACUCACAUGUUCAUCGAAAGCAUUCUUAUUCUGAGACUUUGGGAGAUUUACUGGCAGUAAUAAUGACAACGGCAAUUGUUACGGAUGCGAUCAAUUUCAACUUCAUUUCACAAUGCAGCGCACAUAGCGAGCUCAAAACUCAACAAUGUGAGAGAGAACAAGAGAAAUUACAGUCCACGGGUUAAGUGUUACAUGACAGGGUUGAUGACUUUGCUAGAGCUUGUCGAGGGCAGCGCGAGAUGUAGUCGAGGAGGCAGAUGCGCAAGAACUGUACAAAUCGCAUGUGCUACUCUUGCCUACAUGAACAAUGGCUGUGGGGAAUUUAUCUUCUAGAAGUUUGUCUUUCUGACAUUCGUCGUCGUCGUCAUCAUCAUCAUCUUUGGGAUCCGCUGCUCCGCGCCGGUUGGUGCCAGAGUUGAAACACGAAGCCGAAGUGCCAGAGUCGAUGCUGCUGCUGUCGUCUGCGCCUGCGGAAUCCGUGGGGACAGAUCCACUCUUAGCGUAAGAGCGACUGCCUCGACUGGAUCGACUGGUGUCUGCGUUCGAUGACGAAUACGGUGUUCCAGCGUAGUGGUGAGAAGUUUGUUGCUGGCUCGGUCAAAGCGACCUUUAAACUUUCGCUGCAGCUGCCGCCGUAGCUCGGGCAAGCUCAACCCAGUGGCCGCCUCCCUCUCCUGGCCGGUCUCCUCGUCGACUUCCUUCGCCGUGUCGGCAGCAAGAGUGCACUACUUCGACUUCGAUGCGGCGCUCUCCUCGCGUUGGAUCGUCGACGAGGCUUCAUCCCCCCAACUGCCGUGAAUCACGACAGAUUCAGGCCGCCUCUCGAUCUACAAGGUCACACAUCUGGAAGAGGGGGCACGCAGAGCGAGGUGGUCGCUUGGAGCUUUAAGUGAUGCGCCUCUUUGCCUCCCUAUCUGUCUGUGUGUGUGUAUGUGUCAUGUGUCUCUGGCUGCCUCUUUUGCUCUUGCAUGGCUUCUCAUAUCUCCUUUGGGAUUUGCCUCCACAUGUGCCCACUUCCCCACGAUGUGUUUCUACCCAUUCUAACAUUUCUAAUGCCCCUCUUAUCAGAAUAUCGUAAAGUUUCCGAAGUUCUCCAGUAAUCUGCUUUCGGGACUUUUCGGAGCUACUUUUCAAAAAAAUAGUUUGCAGAGUUAAUGAAACUUUUAUGGGAGUUUGUAAUUCAAUUGAGAUGCUGUCAAUGGAUUAUUUUUGUGAAUGGAACAGGCUUGAUGGCAGGCUUUACACAUCUUUGAGUAGUUUUGGAAGAUUCAUUGCACAAUCUGUAUUUACAAUUAGUUUUUGAAAUGAAAGCAACAAACAAAAUGAUUGAUAGU